rnacentral:rRNA from 1 species
CCGGACCUACGGGGGGCAGCAGUGAGGAAUAUUGGUCAAUGGUCGGGAGACUGAACCAGCCAAGCCGCGUGAGGGAGGAAGGUACAGAGUAUCGUAAACCUCUUUUGUCAGGGAACAAAGGCGGGGACGGGUCCCCGGAUGAGUGUACCUGAAGAAAAAGCAUCGGCUAACUCCGUGCCAGCAGACGCGGUAAUACGGAGGAGGCGAGCGUUAUCCGGAUUUAUCGGGGUUAAAGGGUGCGCAGGCGGUCUGUUAAGUCAGCGGUCAAAGCCCGGGGCUGAAACCCGGCCCGCC